rnacentral:rRNA from 1 species
UGGGGAAUUUUGGACAAUGGGGGAAACCCUGAUCCAGCCAUCCCGCGUGUGCGAUGAAGGCCUUCGGGUUGUAAAGCACUUUUGGCAGGAAAGAAACGUCGCGGGUUAAUACCCCGCGAAACUGACGGUACCUGCAGAAUAAGCACCGGCUAACUACGUGCCAGCAGCCGCGGUAAUACGUAGGGUGCAAGCGUUAAUCGGAAUUACUGGGCGUAAAGCGUGCGCAGGCGGUUCGGAAAGAAAGAUGUGAAAUCCCAGAGCUUAACUUUGGAACUGCAUUUUUAACUACCGGGCUAGAGUGUGUCAGAGGGGAGGUGGAAUUCCGCGUGUAGCAUGAAAUGCGUAGAUAUGCGGAGGAACACCGAUGGGCGAAGGCAGCCUCCUGGGAUAACACUGACGCUCAUGCACG